AUGAGAGAAAAUCGGUUACGGUGGUUUGGACAUGUGCAAAGAAGGCCUACUGACGCUCCGAUUAGAAGAUGCGACUAUGGGACAGAGGUUCAGGGCCGAAGGGGUAGAGGAAGACCUAGGAAAACUUUGGAAGAGACCCUAAGAAAAGACUUAGAGUACUUGGAUCUAACGGAGGACAUGACACAGGACAGAACACAAUGGCGUUCUAAGAUUCAUAUAGCCGAUCCCACUCAGUGACUUGGAUUUUCCAAGUCUCCAACCGAGAAGUUUUUCUUACUCGGGAAAUUAAGGGAACACUACCUCAACCUACAUGCUCCACUCACAAAGCUUCAACAAAAGAAAAUUCAAAGAACUUAGCGAAAAAGGCUUUGGUGUAUUUAACACAAUACGUUGAAAUGAAGGAAAGCUUAUUUAUUGAUAUCCCCGAUAAGUUACAAAUAUGUACAUAUACUUGAGUCAAAAUAAACAAACAAGAGGGAGCCUUCACAAAGGUUGCUUAGGAGAAGUCUCAGCAGUCGGUAGAGCCCCAGAAAGAGAAGGCACCGGAGGGGGAUCAUUCGGAGCCUCGGUACUGGACAGAACCCUAGAAGGAGGAGGCAUCAGAGGUUGAUCAUUUGGAGCUUCAUUACGCGGUACAGCCGCAGAAGACGAAGGCAAUAAAUGCCUUUGGAACAAACCCACAAAUCUCUGAUGAUCAAGUAAAACCUGACCAUCAGAUUCCUUCAUCUGGUCAAGCUUCCUCUUCAUGUUUGUAGCAUAGUCAUGUGCGAGCCGGUGCAACUGUUUAUUCUCAUGCUUGAGCCCUCUAAUCUCCUGUUUGGAGACUCAUCACUUCAGCCGCCAAUGAUUCAACUUGGCGGGUUCGAGCAAAUAGGCGUUGGGCCAUAUUAGACACACAGAACCUGCACACUGAACACUAAGAGCCAGAGAAUCCUUAACAGCCAACUCAUCAGACCGUUUGGAAAGUAGUCUGUUAUCUUUGGGAGUGAAAAGGUUCCUGGCCACUACCGCAGCGGUCAUAUCAUUCUUCAUCACGGAAUCCCCAACGGUAAGAGGACCAGUAGGGGAGACGAAGGAUGGGCGCCAUAUGUUGUCUGGAGAAGGCGGGGCUGCCUCUUCAACAAGGUUCAAGUCAAAACGACGGUCGGAGGGGCCAGACAUUUUCAAAGGUGUUGAAGAGAGAAGAGGUCGGACAAAUCAAGAUCUUAGAAGUGCAAUAAUGGAGCUUCUACUGGUGGAUAUUCAAGUGUGCUUUGGAACUUAAUGUCAGCCCCUAUAAAAAUCUGCACUCGACGAAGCUUCAGAAAUCGAAGAGGCGCCUGCUCAGAAAUCGAAGAGGCGUUUGCUUUCUCAAAAGCUGGGCUGCUCAGAGACCACGAGGGUCGAUCUCAGAAAUCGAAGAGGCGUUUGCUUUCUCAAAAGCUAGGCUGCUCAAAGACCACGAAGGCCGAUCUCAGAAAUCGAAGAGGCUUGCUUUCUCAAAAGCUGGGCUGCUCAGAGACCACGAGGGCCGAUCUCAGAAAUCGAAAAGGCACCUACUUUUCCAGCCUUGUCAGCACCUGUCACACGCACACUCAGCUUUGCGGAAAUUAUGGGCAUUCUGUCGAAGAUUUCUGGCGAAGUAGAAAGCACAUGAAUAGUACUGUUCAAUCACCCACUUCCCACACGCAACAGUAGCUCAUGGGUACCACAUAUAACUUUGCCAAAGUUCUCUGACAAAGUUGAGACACGUGAAGCUUGCAGCUCUCACUACAUCGCUCUGACCAAGAAGGGUAAAAGAAUAGCAAAGAAACAACACUAACAAAGUUUAGACACAUAAAUUUUGAAGGUCUAGUUACCAUAUUAUUACCCACAAGGGUAAAGGAACAGUACCACUGCUGGAUAAUUGGAAAGUCCCGGUGUGUCAACCUCUGUGCUUUGUGGCAAGGUAGACUAGCAAACAUGCCCAACCUUUACUCACAUUCGAGAAAACAUUCCCAACAAGAUUGCUUGCUCCAAAAUCGAAGAGGCACCGCCCUCCGAAUCUCGAGAGCCAGACUCCCAACAUGAUUACUUUUUCAAAAAUCGAAGAGAGGGUAAAGGAACAGUACCACUGCUGGAUAAUUGGAAAGUCCCUGUGUGUCAACCUCUGUGCUUCGUGGCAAGGUAGACUAGCAAACAUGCCCAACCUUUACUCACAUUCGAGAAAACACCCCCAACAAGAUUGCUUGCUCCAAAAUCGAAGAGGCACCGGCCUCCGAAUCUCGAGAGCCAGACUCCUAACAUGAUUACUUUCUCAAAAAUCGAAGAGAGGGUAAAGGAACAGUACCACUGCUGGAUAAUUGGAAAGUCCCUGUGUGUCAACCUCUGUGCUUCGUGGCAAGGUAGACUAGCAAACAUGCCCAACCUUUACUCACAUUCGAGAAAACACUCCCAACAAGAUUGCUGGCUCCAAAAUCGAAGAGGCACCGCCCUCCAAAUCUCAAGAGCCAGACUCCCAACAUGAUUACUUUCUCAAAAAUCGAAGACACCGCUCUCCAAAUCUCGAGAGCCAGACCCCCAGCAGGAUUGCUUUCUCAAAAAUCGAAGAGGCAUCGUUCUCCGAAUCUCGAGAGCCAGAUCCCCGACAGGAUUGCUUGUUCGAAAACCGAAGAGGCACCACUUUCCCAACUUCAAGAGCUGGAUCUCCUUGGAUAAAGCUUGUCUGUAAUCUUCACACGCAACAUCAGCUUUCCAGAUACCACAUACCACUUUUUCAAAGUGCUCUGACAGAGUUAAGCUGGCAGCUCCCACUACCGUGCUAUGACCAAGCAGGGUAAAGGAAUAGCAUUAUUACUUGAUGUUAGGGAGACUCCUAUAUAUGUCGACCUCCAUCCCCAACGGACAGGCAGACCUGCAAAAAUGCUCAACCCUUCCUCUUAUCUGAGAGGGCACUCCCAACGAAGCCUUUCGAAAUAUUCAGCUUUCUUUCCCCCCGAUAAUACCUCUGUAAACAAGCUAUACUAGAGCAAGAAUAUCUCAUAUCAUCAGGGUUAAAAGCAAGAGUAUCCCAUAUCAUGCUUUUUCCCUGUCUUUUCCUUUGGCCUUGUUCUUACCUGCAAGACAAGGAGAAAGAGAGCAAUCAGUCAGCACUUGGAAUCAAGCUUCCAGCCAGGAACUGACUGCCUGGAACCCCUUACCUGAUUACUUACCUGGACAUUGCUCUCGAGUACUCAUCUUCAACAUCUUAUGCUUCCAGGGAAGAUACCGCAUCUGCCUGAGGAACAGAUAGGGCAAGUGAGAAGGAUACAAGGAAGCAUGUGGAGACAAGCGUAACAGCACACGUGCCGAUACAUCCACUACUCUGUCAAAAGCAAAAGUAUCCCAUAUCAGCAGGGUCGAACGUACUCUAGAUUUGAUGGACUUGUUUUGACCCUCAAAUUCUUCAGUCGGCCUUAUACUCUGGAGGAAACCAGAAAACCCUCCAGCCCAGUUCAAGAAUAAGCCUGUGGAAAGUUACUUCUUCAAAAGCAAAAGUAUCCCAUAUCAUCUCUUCUCAUUUUUCUUCUCUUUAUCCUUCAUGCUGCCUGCAAGAUAGGGAGAAUGUGAACAAUCAGCCGGAGCUCUGAUUGCUUACCUUGUCUGUCACCUCUUUCAGCAGAUCCCCUAGCUCGGCGACUUGGGGGACUCCUACUACAUGGUUUGUAUCGCGCUUGACCAAGCCUGAAACUACAAGUAAGCUUCAAGUGAACAUUGAUACAUUACCUUGUGCAUCUCCACCAGUUACAGAUACCACCCCUGGAUGGAGGAAGAGUACUUCCAGAGAAGAUGCCACAUCUACCUAUGAGACAGAUAAGGAAAGUCAAGACGAUACCACACUCCGGUACUUAGAAGUUUCGUGGUUAUGAGAUCAUUCUCCCACAAUAUUUCCUAAUGUCAUUUGUACUAAAUCAUUCACUUGUACUCACUAAAGGAGAGCUUGAACCUAUGUACCUGUGUAAACCCUUCACAAUUAAUGAGAACUCCUCUAUUCCGUGGACGUAGCCAAUCUGGGUGAACCACGUACAUCUUGUGUUUGCUUUCCUAUCUCUAUCCAUUUAUUUACUUAUCAACACUAAUGACCGGAGCAAUCUAGCGAAGAUCACAAAAAGUGACCGUUUUCGCUACCUAGGAUCUAUCUUGCAAGAGAACGGAGAAUUAGAUGGAGAUCUCAACCAUAGAAUACAAGCUGGAUGGAUGAAGUGUAAGAGUGCAUCCGGCGUGUUGUGUGACCGUCGUAGGCCACUGAAGCUCAAGGGAAAAUUUUAUAGGACGGCAAUAAGGCCAGCGAUGUUGUAUGGCACAGAAUGUUGGGCGGUGAAGCAUCAACACGUACACAAAAUGGGUGUAGCGGAGAUGAGGAUGCUUCGUGGGAUGUAUGGGCACACGAGAAAGGAUAAGAUUGGGAAUGAGGAUAUCCGAGGUAAAGUAGGAGUAGCCAAAAUUGAAGGAAAUAUGAGAGAAAAUCGGUUCCGGUGGUUUGGACAUGUGCAAAGAAGGCCUACUGACGCUCCGGUUCGAAAAUGUGACUACGGGACAGAGGUUCAGGGCCGAAGGGAUAGAGGAAGACCUAGGAAAACUUUGGAAGAGACCCUAAGAAAAGACUUGAGUACUUGGAUCUAACGGAGGACAUGACACAAAACCGAGCGCAAUGGCGUUCUAGGAUUCAUAUAGCCGACCCCAUUUAGUGGGAAAAGGCUUUGUUGUUGUUGUUGUUGUUGGUGUGAAAGUCCCGAUUUUGAGAUGAAAGAACCCACCUCCUAGCCAUAUAUGAUCCACAAUUUGAUAGAUUUCUCCUAAUGGCAAGCUUUCCCACACUAGACACUACUCUAAACCACGCCAUAUCUACCAACCCAAUCUACCAAUCACACAACUUUUAUCUAAAUUUAACAUAAAUUUACCUCCCCCAGCCGGAAUGUUAAACCUCAAUCAUAAUCCUGUGUGUCUUCACCCUUCAGUCCUAUGAAUCAAAACCCUUUUCAAAUCUAUAAAAAAAAAUAAAAAAAUAAAUAACAAUCAAAUAAUUAUACAUAUUAUAAUACCUUAAUCCAUUCAUAGUACACACCAGAUUAUGAAUGCAUAAACUUGAUUAAAGAAAGUGAUCAAACAGAUAUAUAACCGUUAAAUCGAAAACAAUUCAAAAUUUUCACCAAAAAAUAGAAGAAAUCAGAAGAAAUGAAAUACCCAGGUUGAAGGUGUCUUCUUCCCCCUUUCCAAACUCUUG
rnacentral:lncRNA from 1 species